GGAUGUGAGGGUGAUCUGGCUGAGACAUCUGUCACACCAUUGAUCGCCAGGGUUGAUUCCCCUAAUCUGGCUGGCUAGGCGGGUCCUCUUCCUUCCUCACUGCUCCAUGUGUGUUCUUCCCCAACCUGCGAGCUCAGAAGAGAGCGGCCUUCCCCAAUAGAGACAGACCGGUCUUGGUCGAGGGUACAUGAGUAGCUGCACUCCCUUGCUAGAACCUUUAAACAAGCUCUCAGAAUAUGUAAAUAAUCAUUUUAGAACAUAUCCUUAUGAUGUAUAGUAAUGUAAGAAUUCCACACAAUUAAACUUUUAAAAUAUUUAUUUAUUAUUGGAU
rnacentral:snRNA from 1 species